GUAUCCAUAACUUAAUUGGUAGAGUGUUGAUUUUCGAAAUCAAAAGUUCUAGGUUCGAGUCCUAGUGGAUAUG